CUAGCCUUCCAAGCUA
rnacentral:tRNA from 2 species